rnacentral:rRNA from 1 species
GGUUAAGUGACUAAGCGUACACGGUGGAUGCCUUGGCAGUCAGAGGCGAUGAAAGACGUAGUAACUUGCGAUAAGCCCAGAUUAGGUAGUAACAACCAUUUGAGUCUGGGAUUUCUGAAUGGGGAAACCCACGUGCAUAAGCACGUAUCCUUACCUGAAUACAUAGGGUAAGGAGGCGAACCGGGGGAACUGAAACAUCUAAGUACCCCGAGGAAAAGAAAUCAACCGAGAUUCCGAAAGUAGCGGCGAGCGAAAUUGGACUAGCCCUUAAGCUUUACACGCGUUAGACGAACGGUCUGGAAAGUCCGACGAUACAGGGUGAUAGUCCCGUAGUUGACGACGUGUGUUCAGUGAAAUCGAGUAGGGCGGGACACGUGAUAUCCUGUCUGAAUAUGGGGGGACCAUCCUCCAAGGCUAAAUACUACUGACUGACCGAUAGUGAACCAGUACCGUGAGGGAAAGGCGAAAAGAACCCCUGUGAGGGGAGUGAAAUAGAACCUGAAACCGUGUACGUACAAGCAGUAGGAGCAGGCUUGUCCUGUGACUGCGUACCUUUUGUAUAAUGGGUCAGCGACUUAUAUUCAGUGGCAAGGUUAACCAUCUAGGGGAGCCGUAGGGAAACCGAGUCUUAACUGGGCGUUCAGUCUCUGGAUAUAGACCCGAAACCAGGUGAUCUAGCCAUGGGCAGGUUGAAGGUUGAGUAACAUCAACUGGAGGACCGAACCGACUAAUGUUGAAAAAUUAGCGGAUGACUUGUGGCUAGGGGUGAAAGGCCAAUCAAACCUGGAGAUAGCUGGUUCUCCCCGAAAGCUAUUUAGGUAGCGCCUCGGACGAAUACUACUGGGGGUAGAGCACUGUUAAGGCUAGGGGGUCAUCCCGACUUACCAACCCUUUGCAAACUCCGAAUACCAGUAAGUACUAUCCGGGAGACACACGGCGGGUGCUAACGUCCGUCGUGGAGAGGGAAACAACCCAGACCGCCAGCUAAGGUCCCAAAUUACUACUAAGUGGGAAACGAUGUGGGAAGGCUCAGACAGCCAGGAUGUUGGCUUAGAAGCAGCCAUCAUUUAAAGAAAGCGUAAUAGCUCACUGGUCGAGUCGGCCUGCGCGGAAGAUGUAACGGGGCUAAGUAGUAAACCGAAGCUGCGGCAAUAUACUUUUGUAUAUUGGGUAGGGGAGCGUUCUGUAAGCGGUUGAAGGUGUGUGGUAACGCAUGCUGGACGUAUCAGAAGUGCGAAUGCUGACAUGAGUAACGAUAAAGGGGGUGAAAAACCUCCUCGCCGGAAGACCAAGGGUUCCUGUCCAACGUUAAUCGGGGCAGGGUAAGUCGACCCCUAAGGCGAGGCCGAAAGGCGUAGUCGAUGGGAAACGGGUUAAUAUUCCCGUACUUCUUACAAUUGCGAUGGGGGGACGGAGAAGGCUAGGUGGGCCUGGCGACGGUUGUCCAGGUUCAAGUGCGUAGGCUUAAGAGUUAGGUAAAUCCGGCUCUUUUUAAGGCUGAGACACGACGUCGAGCACCUACGGGUGUGAAGUCAUUGAUGCCAUGCUUCCAGGAAAAGCCUCUAAGCUUCAGAUUGUAAGGAAUCGUACCCCAAACCGACACAGGUGGUCGGGUAGAGAAUACCAAGGCGCUUGAGAGAACUCGGGUGAAGGAACUAGGCAAAAUGGUACCGUAACUUCGGGAGAAGGUACGCUCUUGAUGGUGAAGUCCCUCGCGGAUGGAGCUGACGAGAGUCGCAGAUACCAGGUGGCUGCAACUGUUUAUUAAAAACACAGCACUGUGCAAAAUCGUAAGAUGACGUAUACGGUGUGACGCCUGCCCGGUGCCGGAAGGUUAAUUGAUGGGGUUAGACUUCGGUCGAAGCUCUUGAUCGAAGCCCCGGUAAACGGCGGCCGUAACUAUAACGGUCCUAAGGUAGCGAAAUUCCUUGUCGGGUAAGUUCCGACCUGCACGAAUGGCGUAAUGAUGGCCACGCUGUCUCCACCCGAGACUCAGUGAAAUUGAAAUCGCUGUGAAGAUGCAGUGUACCCGCGGCUAGACGGAAAGACCCCGUGAACCUUUACUACAGCUUGGCACUGAACAUUGACCCUACAUGUGUAGGAUAGGUGGGAGGCUUUGAAGCACGUACGCCAGUAUGUGUGGAGCCGUCCUUGAAAUACCACCCUUGUAGUGUUGAUGUUCUAACGUCGACCCCUAAUCGGGGUUGCGGACAGUGCCUGGUGGGUAGUUUGACUGGGGCGGUCUCCUCCCAAAGAGUAACGGAGGAGCACGAAGGUGGGCUAAUCACGGUUGGACAUCGUGAGGUUAGUGCAAUGGCAUAAGCCCGCUUGACUGCGAGAAUGACAAUUCGAGCAGGUGCGAAAGCAGGUCAUAGUGAUCCGGUGGUUCUGAAUGGAAGGGCCAUCGCUCAACGGAUAAAAGGUACUCCGGGGAUAACAGGCUGAUACCGCCCAAGAGUUCAUAUCGACGGCGGUGUUUGGCACCUCGAUGUCGGCUCAUCACAUCCUGGGGCUGAAGUCGGUCCCAAGGGUAUGGCUGUUCGCCAUUUAAAGUGGUACGCGAGCUGGGUUUAGAACGUCGUGAGACAGUUCGGUCCCUAUCUGCCGUGGGCGUUGGAAGAUUGAAGGGGGCUGCUCCUAGUACGAGAGGACCGGAGUGGACGAACCUCUGGUGUUCGGGUUGUGUCGCCAGACGCAUUGCCCGGUAGCUAAGUUCGGAAUCGAUAACCGCUGAAAGCAUCUAAGCGGGAAGCGAGCCCUGAGAUGAGUCUUCCCUGAUACUUUAAGUAUCCUAAAGGGUUGUCGGAGACUACGACGUUGAUAGGUCAGGUGUGUAAGUGCUGUGAGGCAUUGAGCUAACUGAUACUAAUUGCCCGUGAGGCUUAACCAU